CCCCAGUAACGGCGAGUGAAGCGGCAACAGCUCAAAUUUGAAAUCUGGCCCCCCCCGGGGGGCCCGAGUUGUAAUUUGCAGAGGAUGCUUUGGGCGAGGCGCCUUCCGAGUUCCCUGGAACGGGACGCCACAGAGGGUGAGAGCCCCGUCUGGUCGGACGCCGAGCCUCUGUAAAGCUCCUUCGACGAGUCGAGUAGUUUGGGAAUGCUGCUCAAAAUGGGAGGUAUAUGUCUUCUAAAGCUAAAUACCGGCCAGAGACCGAUAGCGCACAAGUAGAGUGAUCGAAAGAUGAAAAGCACCUUGAAAAGGGGGUUAAACAGUACGUGAAAUUGUUGAAAGGGAAGCGCUCGUGACCAGACUUGGGGCGGGCGGAUCAGCCGGCGUUCUCGCCGGCGCACUCCGCCCGUCCCAGGCCAGCAUCAGUUCGCGCCGGGGGACAAAGGCGGCGGGAACGUGGCUCCCCAGGGAGUGUUAUAGCCCGCCGCGCCAUGCCCCGGGGGCGGACUGAGGGCCGCGCAUCACUGCAAGGAUGCUGGCGUAAUGGUCACCAGCGACCCGUCUUGAAACACGGGCCAAGGAGUCGUCCUCGUAUGCGAGUGUUCGGGUGUCAAACCCCUACGCGGAAUGAAAGUGAACGUGGGUGAGAGCUUCGGCGCAUCAUCGACCGAUCCUGAUGUUCUCGGAUGGAUUUGAGUAGGAGCAUACGGGGCCGGACCCGAAAGAAGGUGAACUAUGCCUGUGUAGGGUGAAGCCAGAGGAAACUCUGGUGGAGGCUCGCAGCGGUUCUGACGUGCAAAUCGAUCGUCAAACAUGGGCAUGGGGGCGAAAGACU
rnacentral:rRNA from 1 species